CAAACCCUUUAAGGAGCUGAUGAAAGUGAUGAACCUUUGCACUAGAAAAAUGUACACAUUCGAAGAGGAUUUCAAACCUCAGAAAUACCCCAAUGUUUAUCUCCAAUGAUGGAAGAGGAAGAUUAAAACAAUAAUCUGCAGAAAAACCCUGACUUUCCAGAGAUCUAAAGUGUAAUGCAACCGUAUGUGGUUGAGAAGUUCGAAUCUUGGCUGCCUUCGCCCCUCUGCACAAACAGAAACCCCGGUUUCGGGGACCGUGAUCUCAUCGUGUCGCUCUCACUUUUGAAGGUCUGUUAAAAGUCUGGGGCCUCUUAUCUCA